AUCCGGACUUCUACGGGAACCAGACUCUGACUGAACUUCUGUAGCGGAUAGAUUCCGGACGAACUCCUACGACACACGGGCUCCAGCAGUCGGACCCCUCCAGCGGGUGAACCUCUCUAGUGCCAUCCGACAUCCACUAUCGGUCGACCUUCUGUCAGAUUCUACAUGAAAUCGAGCUUCGUCCACAGAAAGCCCCUGACCGAGCUUCUACAGC
rnacentral:lncRNA from 1 species